UCAGGGAAGGAGUGGGCCUGCAGGAGACCCGCCAAUGAACGUUGAUCUUUUCAGCCUGCUGAAAAACUACAGUCCUCAUGAUCUGGCUCUGCUCUAUCAGCACUGGUCUCUUAUUGAUCCCAGGAUCGAUCCCCAAGCACUAUUGCAGCUCGAUGGAGGUUUUGGAAAUGAAGUCCAUCCUUCCUCUGAAUCUCCCAAACAAACCAACAGCCGUUAAACUUGUUCCUCAGGGUCUGUGACUUCAACACGAAGAUGCAUCGUGUUGCCUCUGGAUGAACAAGGAGGAAGUAGCCAUAACUCGACUAAAACAGGGGGCAGAUGAUAAUCCACAAUAGAAUUUUAUGCAAAGAGAUGAGUGGAAUUCAAAAUAUUUUUAUGAGUAGCAUUGUUUCACCUGAUGUUAUAGAAUUUGUUUUUUAAACCUAGCUCAUAUUAGUUACUCCACAUCGUGGAAGAUGAAAUGAAGCAGAUUACUGAGAUUAACUGUACAUCAUAGGUUGACGACGUAUUAAUGUGAACAACGCAUACAGGGUUAAGUGGAGAAGCUACAGUGACUAUAAUGCACUAUGGAAACCUGCUGAAGAAAAUGAGUUUAAAUUAAUGUUUCAUUAAACCUGUAAACACAUCAGUCAUGGCCAACAGCCCUAACUGUAGUCACACUAAUGUUUUACCCUCAUCAAAGUUGUUUCACAUUGACAGCACAUUGAACUUAGAGACGUUGGUCCACGUGGUCUGCUGUGUCCCAGGUCACUAAAGGGAUUUUAGACUUGAGUUUUUAAGCCAUGUUUGUUGGUGCUAAUGAACUGGGACAAGCCUUAAAGUUGGGCUGUGGCUGAUUCAACAGUCCUACAUUAAUUAGAGGUACAUGAACUGAGACACCACAUCUAAGCAGUGUUAUAUAAACAGCCUGACUGCAGUUACAUCAGGAAAGAAAGUGACACUUUCACUGGUCCUCAGGCCAACUUUACAGUCCAGAGUCAGUGACUUAAACAUCAUUGUUGCCAGUUGGCUCAAAAUGUUUUAGUUUUUUUUAAAUAACAAUUAAAAAAAAAAGUUCUGUUCAAAUUUGCCUUUUUGUCUCCAACCAGACCGACAGUCUAAACAACUACACUUGUUUCAUGUCCAGGUACAAUUAGAGUUAAAGGUACUGGAGAAAAACAGGUUUGAAGACUGUAAAAUAUUUGUUUUGUUUUUUACUUUUUUGAAAACUUGCUUUGUUCUCAUUCUUGUGUUUAUUUUAUUUUAGUUGUGUUUGAAUUAAUUACAUUCAUCUCCUACAGAGAGUCUAUGCAUUUGAAACAAAGCCAUCAGGUUAUGGAUUCUUAGAAGAUGGUAAAAUACAAUAUUUAUUCUUUGGGAAUAUACAAUUUGACUUGUGAGAUUUCUGGGGGGAUGAAUGUUGAAUUAUUUUUUUGUUAUAUUUAAUGUUGGGGUUUUUUUUCCAUCCGAGUGAUGUUCAACACUCCCUAAGUACUUGAUAUUUGUAGCCAGGACAGCUUUGUUUUCGUUUUGAUGUUUUGUUUUUUUUGUGACCCACUGACGGUGAGGUUACAGUUCAGGAACCUGCAACAGUUUUACAUUGAGCCUGUGUUUGUUUAUUUUUAAUCUUGUUUGUUAAGGGGCAGCUGCAGCCACUUUUAGCAGGACACAAAGAGGCAGUUAUGUUUAUGUUUAAAACCUGAACUUUAUUAUUAAACAAAUGCUCAAGAUGUCAGUGAGUUUGUUUGUUCACUAUUGAUACCACACUUUCUAUUUUUGACAGUCCUUUGUCUGUAAAGUUGUUUCAAUAAAGUUGAUAAAUUCUUGAUUUGUUUUUAUUUGUAACUAGGGCCAGAAACAAACAGAGAUCUGGGCUUAAAUCCUAAAUCUAAACUAGACAUUUGAAAACUGUUAGU